rnacentral:tRNA from 1 species
GCGCGGGUAGCUCAGUGGUAGAGCGUUCGAUUGCAGCUCGAAGGGUCAUCCCGGUCCCGCGCU